CUACGGGUCGCUCCAGUGAGGAAUAUUGCACAAUGGGGGGAACCCUGAUGCAGCAACGCCGCGUGGAGGAUGACGCAUUUCGGCGUGUAAACUCCUUUUAUAUGUCAAGAAAAUGACGGUAGCAUAUGAAUAAGCACCGGCUAACUCCGUGCAGCAGCCGCGGUAAUACGGAGGGUGCAAGCGUUACUCGGAAUCACUGGGCGUAAAGGACGCGUAGGCGGGUUGGAAAGUCAGGUGUGAAAUCCUACAGCUUAACUGUAGAACUGCACUUGAAACUUCUAAUCUAGAGUAUGGGAGGGGGAGAUGGAAUUAGUGGUGUAGGGGUAAAAUCCGUAGAUAUCACUAGGAAUACCUAAAGCGAAGGCGAUCUCCUGGAACAUUACUGACGCUAAGGCGUGAAAGCGUGGGGAGCAAACAGGAUUAGAUACCCGAGUAGUC
rnacentral:rRNA from 1 species